rnacentral:lncRNA from 1 species
AUAGAGGUGGUGGACAGAGGAUAAGACCAUACUGUAACAAUGAGAUAGAGGUGGUGGACAGAGGAUAAGACCAUACUGUAACAAUGAGAUAGAGGUGGUGGACAGAGUGGGAGAGAUGAGCCAUGAAGGAAACAACAUAGUGAAUCUCUAACUGAUCUAAAUGUUUCUCUCUCUGGGGAGU